rnacentral:rRNA from 1 species
UACGGGGGGGGCAAGCGUUGUUCGGAAUUACUGGGCGUAAAGGGCUCGUAGGCGGCCAACUAAGUCAGACGUGAAAUCCCUCGGCUUAACCGGGGAACUGCGUCUGAUACUGGAUGGCUUGAGAUUGGGAGAGGGAUGCGGAAUUCCAGGUGUAGCGGUGAAAUGCGUAGAUAUCUGGAGGAGCACCGGUGGCGAAGGCGGCAUCCUGGACCAACACUGACGCUGAGGAGCGAAAGCCAGGGGAGCAAACGGG